GGUGAGAUGGCCGAGUUGGUCUAAGGCGCCAGGUUAAGGUCUCCUUAACUUUAUCUCCUGGUCGGGAAACCGGCGUGGGUUCGAAUCCCACUCUCAUCA
rfam:Verruconis gallopava strain CBS 43764 unplaced genomic scaffold supercont1.3, whole genome shotgun sequence.